AGUGAACGCUGGCGGUAGGCCUAACACAUGCAAGUCGAACGGCAGCACAGUAAGAGCUUGCUCUUACGGGUGGCGAGUGGCGGACGGGUGAGGAAUACAUCGGAAUCUACUUUUUCGCGGGGGAUAACGUAGGGAAACUUACGCUAAUACCGCAUACGACCUACGGGUGAAAGCAGGGGAUCUUCGGACCUUGCGCGAUUGAAUGAGCCGAUGUCGGAUUAGCUAGUUGGCGGGGUAUAGGCCCACCAAGGCGACGAUCCGUAGCUGGUCUGAGAGGAUGAUCAGCCACACUGGAACUAAGACACGGUCCAGACUCCUACGGGAGGCAGCAGUGGGGAAUAUUGGACAAUGGGCGCAAGCCUGAUCCAGCCAUACCGCGUGGGUGAAGAAGGCCUUCGGGUUGUAAAGCCCUUUUGUUGGGAAAGAAAAGCAGCAGGUUAAUACCCCGCUGUUCUGACGGUACCCAAAGAAUAAGCACCGGCUAACUUCGUG
rnacentral:rRNA from 1 species